rnacentral:lncRNA from 1 species
AAGCUAGUGUCUUCUUAACACAGAGCUCUAGACAUAGAAGCAUGCUGGAUGCUAAAGACAAGGUUUACAUGGAAUACAGUAGAAAUGAAUGACAAACUGCUGUUCAAAGUAAUGUGGGCCUGCCCAUGGAUACAAGGCCUUGACACCUAUCUCAUGCUGUUGACUCCCUGGAGGGAUGAGAGGCCUUGCAGAGGGAUCUAGAUAGAUUGGAGCAUGGAGCAAUCAUCAGCAGCAUGAAGUUCAACAAAGGAGAAUGCCAGGCACGGCACCAGUGACAGAGUAAUGCUGGUCACAAGUACAGACUGGGAGAUGAGUGGCUGGAGAUCAGCUCAGCAGAAAGGAAUCUAGGGGUG